rnacentral:rRNA from 1 species
AGCGAACGCUGGCGGCAUGCCUAACACAUGCAAGUCGCACGGGGGGGCUUCGGCCUCCCAGUGGCGGACGGGUGAGGAACGCGUAGGGACCUGUCGAGGGGUGGGGGAUAACCGCGGGAAACUGCGGCUAAUACCGCAUGACGCCGCGGCGUGACAGCCGGGGCCAAAGGCGAAAGCCGCCCGCCGAGGGGCCUGCGUCCGAUUAGCUGGUUGGCGGGGUAGCGGCCCACCAAGGCGUCGAUCGGUAGCUGGUCUGAGAGGGUGAUCAGCCACACCGGGACUGAGCCACGGCCCGGACUCCUACGGGAGGCAGCAGUGGGGAAUAUUGGACAAUGGGCGCAAGCCUGAUCCAGCAAUGCCGCGUGGGUGAAGAAGGUCUUCGGAUUGUAAAGCCCUUUCGGCGGGGACGAUGGUGACGGUACCCGCAGAAGAAGCCCCGGCUAACUUCGUG